GACGAACGCUGGCGGCGUGCCUAACACAUGCAAGUCGAGCGAUGAAACCCUUCGGGGUGGAUUAGCGGCGGACGGGUGAGUAACACGUGGGUAACCUGCCUCAAAGAGGGGGAUAGCCUCCCGAAAGGGAGAUUAAUACCGCAUAACAUUAGUUUCUCGCAUGAGAGAGUAAUUAAAGGAGUAAUCCGCUUUGAGAUGGACCCGCGGCGCAUUAGCUAGUUGGUGAGGUAAAGGCUCACCAAGGCGACGAUGCGUAGCCGACCUGAGAGGGUGAUCGGCCACAUUGGAACUGAGACACGGUCCAGACUCCUACGGGAGGCAGCAGUGGGGAAUAUUGCACAAUGGGCGAAAGCCUGAUGCAGCAACGCCGCGUGAGUGAUGAAGGCCUUCGGGUUGUAAAGCUCUGUCUUUUGGGACGAUAAUGACGGUACCAAAGGAGGAAGCCACGGCUAACUACGUGCCAGCCGCCGCUGUAACAC
rnacentral:rRNA from 1 species